GCCAGUGCCGCCGUACAAAACCCUAAUUUGUAACGAUCAUCAACAAUGUUAGAGGAAAAGAGGCGACGUGAUCUCAGGGGAACUGAAGAACGUAGAUGUUACUCGAUCAUAACAUGUUGAGAAUUCAUAGGUUAUAACAAGUAUCCCGUGCAAUCUGACUGCACAUGGGUGUGAUGCAGCUGAUGGAUUUUUAAGUGAUUGGUGGGGGCAAGACCCAAAUUCCCCGCAGAAUCUUUUGGAUGAAGAUUAUGAUCCGUCUCCAUCUACAUCCCAACUGACCCACAGGAAAGAUCGCAGGAGAUCAGUUUCAAGAACCAAAGAUACGGUUGUGGUCCCCGAAAAGCGUUCUAAAUUCAAGAUUGGACAACAUGUUAUACUUACAGAUGAUAAGGGACAAGAGGUUGGAAAAGGAACCAUACAUCUAGUCAAAGGUGUAUGGUCUGGAAAAAAUUUGGUGGAAUCAAGUUCGUACGUGGUAGAUGUUGAAGAACUCAUGAAAUAAGAAUGUUGUGGAAUUCCAGCCAACUUGUCUUGAUCCAGCAGCAGUUGCCUUGAUGACAGAUUAACCUUUUUAUGCAUGUAUGUGUGCAUAUAUUGUAGAGGUGGUAAUCUUACAUGUUUACCUAUGAAUGCGUGGAUUCAGGUUCUUUUUCCUAAUGGGUAAAACAUAUUGUAGAGGUGGUAAUCUUACAUGUUGAUUGCUCAUAGCGUUAAUGGUUUUUGAAAAUAGCAAGUUAGAUAAUUUUAUUUAGAAAUUUUGUAAUGUAAAUUAAUGGUUU
rnacentral:lncRNA from 1 species